AAAAAAAAAAAAAAAAAAAAAAAAAAAAAAAAAACUUAUAUUCGUAAACAACAUCUUACUUUUAUGGCAGAUACUAGACUUCUAGUUGUUUUAUUUCCACUAUUAGCGGCUGCUUCUUGGGCAUUAUUUAA
rnacentral:ribozyme from 14 species